CACAAAGAUAGGUGGCGCGUGUUUCAGGGUCUCUCCUCUCUCUCCUACAGAAAAGAAAAAGAAAAAAAUGUCAUUAGAAGAGGCGUAACACGUCAGUCCGUCCCCAGGUUUGUGUUUCCUGGAGUGGCCGAAAGAGAUCAGUUCUAACCUGCUCCGCAGGAAUAACGGUCCUGCCUCCCGACACUCUUGGCGAGGUUUUGUGCAGUUUACUCCGGGAGCUGUUUCUUCGCUUCCACCUUUUUCUCCCCCACACUUCGCGGCUUCUUCAUGCUUUUUCUUCUCACCAUUUCUGGCCAAAACUACAAACAAGACUUCGCAGGAUUCCUCUCCCCCACCCUCACCCCAAUUUCAACUCAACAGGACAGGCAAGAAAUGAUAAAAUGUGUCAAACUUCAAUGAAACGUCUCCUACUGUAUAUGCUUAGGUAAAUUUAAGGUGCUUUCUGAAACAUCCACUUCCCCUUCUCUCCGCACCCCCCCUCCCCUCUCAGCAAACGUGUGGAAACUGAUACUCACUUUCCAGGUUUUCCGCAAAGCUGCUCGCACAGGAGACAAUAGGUGCGGGGCGUGGGGACCGAGUGUGCUCGGCAGAGAAAGGGUUAAUGGCCCUUGUGUUACAGUUUGCAUCUGUUACAUCUUUUAUAGCCCCCUGUUUAAACUAAUCCUGGAGGCACAGCAUCUUCCCAACCUCCACCGAGUUUCAGGAUUCUCCUCCUCUGCUGCCUGACUCCGAGUCUCCUUUCUCCAAGUUUUGACAGAUUCAGCUGAAAACAUGCAGCGCCUCUCUCGAUUUUUAGGUACAAAAGUUUCGAAGCCAGAAAGGAUACCAUCAUUUAGGACAGCUUAGAAGUCUUGCCGUGCUGAUUGUACUUUCUCUUUCCUUUCUGGGGGGGGGGGGGGGGAGAAAAAGCAACAUUUCUGCUGGAACUUUUUAUGGGAACCAGCGUGGGGGAGUAUGUUUGCGAGUGAGGUGGGGGCAAAUACUUAAGCAAAUUUGUCAAAGUGGCGGGGUGGGGGGGGGGAGGGACGGUGUCCAAAGAGGCUUAUAAUUAUAUUUCUUAUUGCGGCGGAGAAUGGGAAAUCUUAAUUUGGGGGCAGAGGGCUGGGGGAGGAAGAGACGGUGCCUUGCUGAACUCUGAGAGGAGAGGGAAGGGGAGGGGGCGCGGGGCGAGUGGGCUUCCUAUAAUUACUAUUAUCAAUUUGCCCGAGUGUUCUUCAUCCAGGGGCUGUUUCGCGUUGUUUGUUUGUUUCUUUCUUUCCUCUCGGGAAAUGGGGCGGCGGGGGGCGGGGGGGUGGCGGUG
rnacentral:lncRNA from 1 species